AUCCUGGCUCAGGAUGAACGCUAGCGACAGGGCUUAACACAUGCAAGUCGAGGGGCAGCGGGGGCGUAGCAAUAUGCCUGCCGGCGACCGGCGCACGGGUGAGUAACACGUAUGUAACCUGCCCUAUGCAGGGGGAUAACCCGGAGAAAUCCGGCCUAAUACCGCGUAACACCUUAGGGGAGCAUUCUCUUGAGGUUAAAGGAGAGAUCCGGCAUAGGAUGGACAUGCGUCGCAUUAGGUAGACGGCGGGGUAACGGCCCACCGUGCCGACGAUGCGUAGGGGUUCUGAGAGGAAGGCCCCCCACACUGGUACUGAGACACGGACCAGACUCCUACGGGAGGCAGCAGUGAGGAAUAUUGGUCAAUGGCCGAGAGGCUGAACCAGCCAAGUCGCGUGAGGGAAGAAUGUCCUAAGGAUUGUAAACCUCUUUUGUCGGGGAGCAAAAAGGCUCUGCGGAGUCGUAUUGAGAGUACCCGAAGAAAAAGCAUCGGCUAACUCCGUGCCAGCAGCCGCGGUAAUACGGAGGAUGCGAGCGUUAUCCGGAUUUAUUGGGUUUAAAGGGUGCGCAGGCGGCGUGUCAAGCAAGCGGUAAAAUAGCGGGGCUCAACCCCGUCGAGCCGUUUGAACUGGCGCGCUUGAGUUCAGGCGAGGUAGGCGGAAUUCGUGGUGUAGCGGUGAAAUGCAUAGAUAUCACGAAGAACUCCGAUUGCGAAGGCAGCUUACCAGUCUGCGACUGACGCUCAGGCACGAAAGUGUGGGUAUCGAACAGGAUUAGAUACCCUGGUAGUCCACACAGUAAACGAUGAGCGCUAGGUGUCCGGGUCGCAUGAGACUUGGGUGCCCGAGCGAAAGCGUUAAGCGCUCCACCUGGGGAGUACGCCGGCAACGGUGAAACUCAAAGGAAUUGACGGGGGCCCGCACAAGCGGAGGGAACAUGUGGUUUAAUUCGAUGAUACGCGAGGAACCUUACCCGGGCUCAAACGACUCAGGAAUAUAUUGGAAACGAUGUAGCCAGCAAUGGUCUGAGUCGAGGUGCUGCAUGGUUGUCGUCAGCUCGUGCCGUGAGGUGUCGGCUUAAGUGCCAUAACGAGCGCAACCCCUACCGCCAGUUGCCAACGGGUAAAGCCGGGAACUCUGGCGGGACUGCCGGCGCAAGCUGCGAGGAAGGCGGGGAUGACGUCAAAUCAGCACGGCCCUUACGUCCGGGGCGACACACGUGUUACAAUGGCAGGUACAGCGGGAAGCCACCUGGUGACAGGGAGCGGAACCCGAAAGCCUGUCUCAGUUCGGAUUGGAGUCUGCAACUCGACUCCAUGAAGCUGGAUUCGCUAGUAAUCGCGCAUCAGCCAUGGCGCGGUGAAUACGUUCCCGGGCCUUGCACACACCGCCCGUCAAG
rnacentral:rRNA from 1 species